rnacentral:misc_RNA from 1 species
GAAAUGCGAUAAUUAAUGUGAAUUGCAGAAUUCAGUGAAUCAUCGAGUCUUUGAACGCACAUUGCGCCCCCUGGUAUUCCGGGGGACAUGCCUGUCCGAGCGUCAUUGCUGCCCUCAAGCACGGCUUGUGUGUUGGGCUUCCGUCCCUGGCAACGGGGACGGGCCCAAAAGGCAGUGGCGGCACCAUGUCUGGUCCUCGAGCGUAUGGGGCUUUGUCACCCGCUCCCGUAGGUCCAGCUGGCAGCUAGCCUCGCAACCAAUCUUUUUAACCAGGUUGACCUCGGAUCAGGUAGGGAUACCCGCUGAACUUAAGC